AGGCACAGGGCAUGUACAUCAGCAUGGUCUCUAGCAUCAACAUGGCCCACAGAAUCAACAUGGUCUCCAGUGUGACUACAGACCAUGGACACCUUCAUGGCCCUCAGUGGCAGUACAGGUCAUGGACAUCAACAUGGUCUCCAGCAGCAACAUGGCCCCUGACAUUAGCACAGCUUCAGAUUCCAUCAAUCUCUUUGGUUACCAGCUACACCAUUCAGCAGCAAGCAAAAGUGCACGUGACUUCCUAGAGCAGAGAACGUGUAGUUAGACCAGUCAUGAUCCAGCCUAAGAGGACAGAACCAGCAACAAAGACCCAGACACGACCCCGGCACACAAAGCAUCUGCUUUUAAUUUUAUGUCUUCUUGAACUUAAUGUCCGUCCUCUUGAAAUAGGGUCCAGAGGAGUUCCACGAACAGCAAAUGUGAGAUGGAGAAAGAGAUCUGCCUUCUCUUUCCUAAGAACUGAUGGAAGAAUCUUCUUAUUUGCAAGACAAAGACCUUGGAUUUUCAAAGACAAUGAACAUCAAGCCUUAGGAGCCUCCUAUUUUCAGUAACACCAGUGCUGCCCCACUUUCUGGGUCCAAAGAGAGCAGAGGAGGGAGAAGAAAGCACACUCAGCUUCUGCAGGUUAUGCAGAUGCCUGAUGACACAUAGAUGGCCUACUUCUCAGGCAGGGGCAGCAGCAGCAAUCACCCUCACUUGAACUAGUAGAGCUGUCAGCCUCUUGUUUAUAGAUGACAAUUCAAGGGUAGCUUUCCUUGAUUGGUGAAAUUCCCUCAAUUAAAUGAGCACAAUACUCAGAAUCAGAGGCAGAAGCAAAAACACUCAGAAGCAGAGGUGAGUGGCCUCACCUGUUAACAGGAGAAAGCAUAGCUUUUGACAUGAAAACUACUUAGAUCUGAAAGUCAAGCUGUCAUUUUUUUAGCCUAAAGUACAUUUUAUACACACACACACAUAGACACACACAUAUGUAUAUGCAGCACAUGUAUGUAGACAUAUAUAGAUGCAGUGCAAAUAUAUAUAUGCAGACAUAUAUGUAGACAUAUAUACACAUGUAUAUAUGUAUUCUACAUAUUUAUGUAGAAUAUAAAAUUUUCUGGUAUCAUUAAA
rnacentral:lncRNA from 1 species